rnacentral:rRNA from 1 species
UACAGAGGUCUCAAGCGUUGUUCGGAUUCAUUGGGCGUAAAGGUGCGUAGGUGGCAUGGUAAGUCGGAUGUGAAAUCCCGGGGCUCAACCCCGGAACUGCAUUCGAUACUGCUGCGCUAGAGUACUGGAGAGGAGAUUGGAAUUUACGGUGUAGCAGUGAAAUGCGUAGAUAUCGUAAGGAAGACCAGUGCGAAGGCGGGUCUCUGGACAGUUCCUGACACUGAGCACGAAGGCCAGGGGAGCAAACAGG